AAUCAACGCUGGCGGCGUGCCUCAGACAUGCAAGUCGAACGAUUAAACUUUCCUUCGGGAAAGAUAUAAAGUGGCGCACGGGUGAGUAACACGUAAGUAAUCUACCUUCGAGUGGGGAAUAACGUCCGGAAACGGACGCUAAUACCGCAUAAUGCAGCGGCACCUUAUGGUGACAGUUGUUAAAGGAGCAAUUCGCUUGAAGAGGAGCUUGCGGCAGAUUAGCUAGUUGGUAAGGUAACGGCUUACCAAGGCUACGAUCUGUAACCGGUCUAAGAGGACGGUCGGUCACACUGACACUGAAUAACGGGUCAGACUCCUACGGGAGGCAGCAGUCGGGAAUUUUGGGCAAUGGGCGAAAGCCUGACCCCAGCAACGCCGCGUGAAGGAUGAAGUAUUUCGGUAUGUAAACUUCGAAAGAAUGGGAAGAAUCAAUGACGGUACCAUUUAUAAGGUCCGGCUAACUACGUGCCAGCCGCCG
rnacentral:rRNA from 1 species